GGAGCAGCUUCUGGAGAGACCGCAGGAAAUAUGCGGCGCCGAAGGGUUCACAAUCUCAGGCAAAAGGACAGAAGAGUACGA
rnacentral:ncRNA from 2 species